rnacentral:rRNA from 1 species
UACGAAGGGGGCUAGCGUUGCUCGGAAUCACUGGGCGUAAAGCGCACGUAGGCGGAUUGCUAAGUCAGGGGUGAAAUCCUGGAGCUCAACUCCAGAACUGCCUUUGAUACUGGCGAUCUUGAGUCCGGGAGAGGUGAGUGGAACUGCGAGUGUAGAGGUGAAAUUCGUAGAUAUUCGCAAGAACACCAGUGGCGAAGGCGGCUCACUGGCCCGGUACUGACGCUGAGGUGCGAAAGCGUGGGGAGCAACAGGG